UCUCCAUAUGCUUGCACAGAGUUAACUGUGCUACAGUACUGCAUUCAUCAAAUUUUGCAGGGAUAUGUCCGAGUUGGACAUGCAUCACCUCACGCUUCUUGUUCAAGCUUAAAUACCUCACUGGAAACCAGUGCCAUCACCUAUGCUCCCUAUGCUGCUGCCACAUCUAGCAGAAGGAUUUCACUGGAUACUGCGAGCACCUCCACUCCUGUGACCCCUACCAGAGGGAUUAUAUUGGUAGGAACUAUCAGGA